rnacentral:rRNA from 1 species
GAUCAGUCGGCUCGAGGACGACGCUGGCGGCGUGCUUAACACAUGCAAGUCGAACGGUAAGGCCCUUCGGGGUACACGAGUGGCGAACGGGUGAGUAACACGUGGGUGAUCUGCCCUGCACUUCGGGAUAAGCCUGGGAAACUGGGUCUAAUACCGGAUAGGACCAUGGACUUCACGGUUUGUGGUGGAAAGCUUUUGCGGUGUGGGAUGGGCCCGCGGCCUAUCAGCUUGUUGGUGGGGUAAUGGCCUACCAAGGGCGACGACGGGUAGCCGGCCUGAGAGGGUGUCCGGCCACACUGGGACUGAGAUACGGCCCAGACUCCUACGGGAGGCAGCAGUGGGGAAUAUUGCACAAUGGGCGCAAGCCUGAUGCAGCGACGCCGCGUGAGGGAUGACGGCCUUCGGGUUGUAAACCUCUUUCAAUAGGGACGAAGCGCAAGUGACGGUACCUAUAGAAGAAGCACCGGCCAACUACGUG